CGGGUGAGUAACACGUGAGUGACCUGCCUUUUAGACUGGAACAACUUACCGAAAGGUGAGCUAAUGCCGGAUGAGUUAUAUAAGUGCAUGUUUAUAUAGGGAAAAGUUGGGGAGGACCUGACGCUGAAAGAUGGACUCGCGUCCCAUUAGCUAGUUGGUAGGGUAAUGGCCUACCAAGGCGACGAUGGGUAGCCGGCCUGAGAGGGUGGCCGGCCACACUGGGACUGAGACACGGCCCAGACUCCUACGGGAGGCAGCAG
rnacentral:rRNA from 1 species